rnacentral:rRNA from 1 species
UCACGAGAAAGCCUGGCUUCGGCCGGGCAAGUAAAGUGGCGAACGGGUGAGUAACACGUGGACAAUCUGCCCUGUGGUGGGGAAUAACUCUGGGAAACCGGGGCUAAUACCGCAUAAGAUCCUUGGCACACAAGUGACAGGGAGGAAAGCCUUUCGGGGCGCCGCAGGAGGAGUCCGCGGCCGAUUAGCUUGUUGGCGGGGUAAUGGCCCACCAAGGCGGCGAUCGGUAGCCGGCCUGAGAGGGUGUACGGCCACACUGGCACUGAGACACGGGCCAGACUCCUACGGGAGGCAGCAGUGGGGAAUCUUGGACAAUGGGGGAAACCCUGAUCCAGCGACGCCGCGUGACUGAUGAAGCCCCUCGGGGUGUAAAAGUCUUUCGGCGGGGACAAUCAUGAUGGUACCCGCAGAAGCAGCUGCGGCUAACUACGUGCCAGCAGCCGCGGUAAUACGUAGGCAGCAAGCGUUGUUCGGAAUUACUGGGCGUAAAGCGAGUGUAGGCCGUCCGCCAAGUCCGUUGUGAAAUCUCCCGGCUCAACUGGGAGCCUGCAACGGAAACUGGCAGGCUAGAGUGCGGAAGAGGAGAGUGGNAAUUCCUGGUGUAGCGGUGAAAUGCGUAGAUAUCAGGAGGA